AUUGAACGCUGGCGGCAGGCCUAACACAUGCAAGUCGAACGAGUGGCGGACGGGUGAGUAAUGUCUGGGAAACUGCCUCAUGGAGGGGGAUAAAUACUGGAAAAGGUAUCUAAUAACCCAUCCCCUCGGUGGUGCCCAGAGGGGAUGAGCUAGUAGGUGGGGUAAAGGCUCACCGAGGCGACGAUCCCUAGCUGGGCUGAGAGGAUGACCAGCCAAACUGGAACUGAGAAACGGUCAAGCCUCCUACGGGAGGCAGCAGUGGGGAAGAGUGCACAAGGGGCGCAAGCCUGAUGCAGACAGGCCGCGUGUAGGAAGAAGGCCUUCGGGUGGUAAAGUACUUUCAGCGGGGAGGCGUUACCCGCAUAAGAAGCACCGGCUAACUCCGUGCCAGCAGCCGCGGUAAUAC
rnacentral:rRNA from 1 species